GAUGAACGCUGGCGGCGUGCUUAACACAUGCAAGUCGAACGAUGAAGGCGGAGCUUGCUCUGCUGGAUCAGUGGCGAACGGGUGAGUAACACGUGAGCAAUCUGCCCCUGACUCUGGGAUAAGCGCUGGAAACGGCGUCUAAUACUGGAUACGAGCUGCGAAGGCAUCUUCAGCAGCUGGAAAGAACUUCGGUCAGGGAUGAGCUCGCGGCCUAUCAGCUUGUUGGUGAGGUAACGGCUCACCAAGGCGUCGACGGGUAGCCGGCCUGAGAGGGUGACCGGCCACACUGGGACUGAGACACGGCCCAGACUCCUACGGGAGGCAGCAGUGGGGAAUAUUGCACAAUGGGCGAAAGCCUGAUGCAGCAACGCCGCGUGAGGGACGACGGCCUUCGGGUUGUAAACCUCUUUUAGCAGGGAAGAAGCGAAAGUGACGGUACCUGCAGAAAAAGCGCCGGCUAACUACGUG
rnacentral:rRNA from 1 species